rnacentral:rRNA from 2 species
AGGUAUGAUCAUACCAACACUAAUGCACCGGAUCCAUUCAGAACUUUGCAGAUAAGCAUGCUUGGGCGAGAGUAGUACUUGGAUGGGUGACCUACUAGGAAGUCCUCGUGUUGCACCUC